rnacentral:rRNA from 1 species
AGGUGCUGCAUGGCUGUCGUCAGCUCGUGUCGUGAGAUGUUGGGUUAAGUCCCGCAACGAGCGCAACCCUCGCCUUUAGUUGCCAGCAUUCAGUUGGCACUCUAGGAGGGACUGCCGGUGUACAAACCGGAGGAAGGUGGGAUGACGUCAAGUCCUCAUGGCCUUUAUGUCUAGGGCUACACACGUACUACAAUGGCCGGUACAAAGGGCAGCCACUCAGCGAUGAGGCGCUAAUCCCAUAAAGCCGGUCUCAGUCCGGAUCGCAGUCUGCAACUCGACUGCGUGAAGUUGGAAUCGCUAGUAAUCGUAGGAUCAGCAUGCUACGGUGAAUACGGUUCCCGGGCCUU